UGGCCAACCAGUUGCCGAUGUGAAGCCCUCAUGAAGGACCCUUGUGGAAUGCACACUCCCCACUUGGAUUCUAGCAAAAUGGUAUUUAGAGGCCACUUGUUGGAAAUUAUCACUGGACUGUUAAGACGACUAUAUCAUUUGAAACAGGAGUUCCAGGAGUUCCAGAUUCAACUUGCUUUGGCUUGUUUGUUUUCUAGAUCCCUCUACCAGUUUCUGUAUACUACAGCCAAUGCGUCUUGUGUGUAUGGCCACUUAACCAAGGAUACAAGGCAGGUGAGUCAAAAGUCUAAAUGUUACCAAGUGCUCUUGAUUCUUUCUGAAGAAUUCUUUCUUGAUUCUAUCUGA
rnacentral:lncRNA from 1 species